rnacentral:rRNA from 1 species
AUUGAACGCUGGCGGUAUGCUUUACACAUGCAAGUCGAACGGCAGCGCGGGCUUCGGCCUGGCGGCGAGUGGCGAACGGGUGAGUAAUACAUCGGAACGUGCCCAGUAGUGGGGGAUAGCUCGGCGAAAGCCGGAUUAAUACCGCAUACGACCUGAGGGUGAAAGCGGGGGAUCUUCGGACCUCGCGCUAUUGGAGCGGCCGAUGGCAGAUUAGCUAGUUGGUGGGGUAAAGGCCUACCAAGGCGACGAUCUGUAGCUGGUCUGAGAGGACGACCAGCCACACUGGGACUGAGACACGGCCCAGACUCCUACGGGAGGCAGCAGUGGGGAAUUUUGGACAAUGGGCGAAAGCCUGAUCCAGCAAUGCCGCGUGUGUGAUGAAGGCCUUCGGGUUGUAAAGCACUUUUGGCGGGAACGAAAAGGACUGUGCCAAUACCACGGUUCGAUGACGGUACCCGCAGAAUAAGCACCGGCUAACUACGUG